rnacentral:rRNA from 2 species
ACGGAAGGCAGCAGUGGGGAAUAUUGCACAAUGGGGGAAACCCUGAUGCAGCGACGCCGCGUGAGCGAAGAAGUAUUUCGGUAUGUAAAGCUCUAUCAGCAGGGAAGAAAAUGACGGUACCUGACUAAGAAGCACCGGCUAAAUACGUGCCAGCAGCCGCGGUAAUACGUAUGGUGCAAGCGUUAUCCGGAUUUACUGGGUGUAAAGGGAGCGUAGACGGUAAAGCAAGUCUGAAGUGAAAGGACGGGGCUCAACCCUGUGACUGCUUUGGAAACUGUUUAACUUGAGUGCCGGAGGGGUAAGCGGAAUUCCUAGUGUAGCGGUGAAAUGCGUAGAUAUUAGGAGGAACACCAGUGGCGAAGGCGGCUUACUGGACGGUAACUGACGUUGAGGCUCGAAAGCGUGGGGAGCAAACAGGAUUAGAUACCCUGGUA